rnacentral:lncRNA from 1 species
CGCCGACAAUGAUCUUUUUACGAUAUCACGACAAAUGGGGGUUCCUAAAGAACAACUUGGGAAAACUCCAAUAAUCACACCUACUUCUUUUCAUCACCUGCAUUACCAACCAGCAACAGGUAAUUCAUUAAUUAAUCAAUUAAUCAACCGAUUAGGGAAUUGACUUAAUUUAGUAUAUAUGUUUAUAAAAUUAUGACCGACCAGUUUUCAUCAACGGAGUCCCUUCAGAAGUCCCAGAAGGAUUGAUCAACAUAAGAGCAACGUUCGGGGAUGAUAAGAUCCUUGUGCAUUCUUCCGGCGAGAUAGUUCCUGUCACCGAAGACGGAUUCCUAUGUCACUGUUUGCAAAUGGGCGAAAGCUAUUUCCUGGUAAUUGACCAAUUCAUCUUAGAAAAUAUCAUUAAUUUCUUGAAUUUUGAUAUAUAUAUAUAUAUACAGAUAUUCUUUUUCCUUGUUUUGAAAAUGUAUGCAGAUUUCCAAGGUUACUCUUUGAAUUUAGGGGUCGAUCCGUGGUCCGUCGAUGUUAAAUGAACUGCUGUUUUACAGAGAUCGCCGUCUAAGUUUACCCUGUCUUCUAAGUAU